rnacentral:rRNA from 1 species
AUACGGGGGGUGCAAGCGUUAAUCGGAAUUACUGGGCGUAAAGCGCGCGUAGGCGGUUUGCUCAGUCGGAUGUGAAAGCCCAGGGCUCAACCUUGGAACUGUAUACGAUACUGGCAAACUAGAGUGUGAGAGAGGAUAGUGGAAUUUCCGGUGUAGCGGUGAAAUGCGUAGAUAUCGGAAGGAACAUCAGUGGCGAAGGCGACUGUCUGGCUCAACACUGACGCUGAGGUGCGAAAGCGUGGGUAGCAAACAGGAUUAGAAACCCUAGUAGUCC